AGAGAGGCUCAGAGAGAGGCAGGGUCUGAUCUGCAGCCUCCAUGCAGCUGUUAAUCAGCUGUUGCCUCUCUCUUUCUCUCCAGGC
rnacentral:pre_miRNA from 1 species